AUUGAACGCUGGCGGCAGGCCUAACACAUGCAAGUCGAACGAGUGGCGGACGUGUGAGUCAUGUCUGGGAAACUGCCCGAUGGAGGGGGAUACCUACUGGAAACGGUAGCUAAUACCGCAUACCAUCGGAUGUGCCCAGAUGGGAUUGGCUAGUAGGUGGUGUAACGGCUCACCUCGGCGACGAUCCCUAGCUGGUCUGAGAGGAGGAACAGCCACACUGGAACUGAGACACGGUCAAGACUCCUACGGGAGGCAGCAGUGGGGAAUAUUGGACAAUGGGCGCAAGCCUGAUGCAGCCAUGCAGCGUGUAUGAAGAAGGCCUUCGGGUUGUAAAGUACUUUCAGCGAGGAGGCGUUACUCGCAGAAGAAGCACCGGCUAACUCCGUGCCAGCCGCCGCGGUAAUAC
rnacentral:rRNA from 1 species